UUGUCUCAAAACCACAUCUAGUAGAGUCUUGUUCAUAAUGUGAAGCGCGCCACAUUAUGAAUAGGAGGCUAUUGGGUGCUAAGAAAGUUUCACUUCUUCAUUGUUUUAGUCGUGCCAUGGAGUUUCUCUCUAUAAUGUCUUCCCUUGUUCCGUAUGUGAUGGUCAUUUGGGUGUUACCUUUGAGGAAGUUUUAAUGUUGCAAGGGUUGAGGGAGAAAGAAUGUUGGUUGUGAUGCCAACUUUGACUUGGUGACUUAGUAGGUGUGAGGUGAAAGAUUGUGGUGAUGACUUUAGUAUGAAUGGGAUUCCUUUGGUUAUGUGUGUUGUUGGUAGUAUCCGGCUUAGUCAUGAGGAAGUUUUGUGAUGUGUUGAAGGAAUUUGUGAAAUGUGUGGUGAUUUAGAAAUGCUAGGUGUAAUGAGUAUAAAAGCCUGUUGUUUUGAUCCGACCUUAGGAUGGAAGGAGGUGAAUUUGAAAGAGCUAGUAAGAGUUUCUCCUAAGUGGGGGAAAUAUGUGGUUAGAUGAUAAGGUCUUUAAGUGUGGUUGAUGUUUAUGAGUUAGGCUUGAAGGAUGUUUUCAUUACAAGAGGUUUAGUGAAUUAAAGAGUUGGGUAAGAAUGGUUUUGGUAAGAUUGAUGGUAUUUUCAUUGAGAUUUUUAUGAGAUGUUAAGGUUGACCUUAGUUGGGUUUACCCUUAAGUGGGGAUGGUAUGUUGAGUAGUGAAGUUGUUGAGAAGUGUUGAUAUCCUUACCUACUUCUAUAUGUGCUUACUCAAGCCUAAAACAAAGAGUUCCUAGAAGCUUGGGUUAUGUUUUGGAGUCUUAUAUGAAAAAGAGUUUUCCAUGGUUUCCUUAUGUCAUGCAUGUUUUAAAUGAAUUCUUGUUAAAUGAGAAAAUGAGUUUUCAUAAAUUUAUGUUCCUCAUGUUGAUGUGCAUCUAUAAUGAUUUGCCUAAAUGUUGCAUGAGUUGACUUAUGAGCAUGUUUAAAAGUGUUUUGAUGAUG
rnacentral:lncRNA from 1 species